rnacentral:rRNA from 1 species
UACGAAGGGGGCUAGCGUUGUUCGGAAUUACUGGGCGUAAAGGGCGCGUAGGCGGCCGAGCAAGUUAGAUGUGAAAGUCCUGGGCUUAACCUGGGGACUGCAUUUGAUACUGCUUGGCUUGAAUUCGGGAGAGGAUAGCGGAAUUCCCAGUGUAGAGGUGAAAUUCGUAGAUAUUGGGAAGAACACCGGUGGCGAAGGCGGCUAUCUGGACCGACAUUGACGCUGAGGCGCGAAAGCGUGGGGAGCAAACAGG